AAUUGUCUCACGCUUUUCUCUUUCAGAACUCAGUGUUGCUUUGACCACUAAAAGGGAGACUUGUGUAGAAGUGUCAAAAUGAAUUUGUCAUAUAUCAAGGUUUGGACUAAUCAAUUUCUUCUAUGUCUGGCAGGUACUGAAUUUUUAUUAUAUAAACAAUAGGAUGGAACCGAUAAAUUCGAAGUAAAUAAAUAAGAAUUAAUACUAAUACACAAAAACACUUAUAGAUAAAUUCAAUAUACCGUUCUCAAGUUAAUAUACAUAUAUAUAUAUCGUAAUAAACGUAAGGUCUAGCGUAGCGAGUAUUACAUGUUUACAGUCGUAUACAGUGCAAUGUUAUCUUUUCCUUUUAGAACUAUCGAUUAAAUAAAAAUCUAUUAUAUCGAAAAAUGUGAUUGUCUUUUUGCAUUCUAUAUCAACCCGUCUUCAAAGGUAUUUGUUUUUAAUCAGGUAAUGGCAAACGUAUUGAAUCGAUACGGACUCACCAGCUUGCACAGGUUAAUAAUUGAGAGAUGUUUACAAGGAAGGCAAAACGUAUCAACAAAACCAAUAGGAACAGAAACCUACGCGGAAUCGCCCGUAUUAGUUGAUAAAGAUGACCACAUCACAUUAAUUGGCUUAAAUCGCCCGAUACAUCGCAACUCAAUAAAUGCUGAGACCGCUCAGAAGUUAAGUGAGGCAUUGGCUGAUUUCGAAAGAGAUAAAACUUCACCCGUAGCUGUAAUUUAUGGUAUAGGUGGCUCAUUUUGUGCUGGACAGGAUCUGACAACGUUGGACACUAAUAAUGAUAAAGAAAAUUUUAGUGCACUUUCAACUUAUAGGACAAUACAUAGACAUUCUCUAAAACCUAUAGUUUGUGGCAUCAAUGGCUAUUGCGUUGGAGAUGGUUUGGAUUUGGCAAUGUUUUGUGACCUUCGUGUUAUGGAAGACACUGCAGUUCUAGGUUUUUUUGGGCGGUUCACGGGAUAUAAUGUAAGUUGCGGCGGGAUAGCAAGGUUACCAGCAAUGAUUGGCUUCUCGCGAUCAUUAGACUUAUUACUAACAGGCAGACGUGUUUGUGGACGAGAAGCACUACAAAUGGGUUUGAUAAACCGUUUGGUAGCAACAGGUACUGCUCUUGGACAGGCGGUUAAUUUGGCCUUCUCCAUUGCGAAGUUUCCUUCAGAAGCAUUACAAAAAGACCGUCAAGCUAUGUACAAAAACUGUUAUGAACACAGAAAUGGACUGAGUGCGGCAAUAAUAGAAGAAACUAAAUCGUUUAAUAACAAAGUUUUGCUUGAAAUAAAAGAAGGUGUAACCAGAUUUAAAGAUGCAAAAAGUAGAGGACAAAAAACAGAUUCCUGGCAAGUAAAGCCGAAAAUUAUACCAGCUUGGGAACAAGAAGAAAUUCUCGAAGAACAAAAAUUUGCUUCGAACGGAAAUUUUUCAGAUAGAAAAUGCUGAUUUUAGUUUAAAAAUUGGAUAACAAACAUUGUACUAUACGUGUUUCUUGUUCUUAAAAGGACAAGCACUGAACUCUUAAUUAAAAAUAUGUAUGUCUGAGCAACUUUUAAAAGUAUGCAGAAACACAAGUUAAUUGUUAAAGAAACCUACGAGGUGUUGUAGAGUCUGAUAGUAGCCGGAAUCAGAAUUGAAACCGAUAAAAAAUAUAGUAGGUCUCAUGAGAACGAUUGCCGUUCAGGGCGGAAUUGGGUAAAAAUGGAGCAGACCAAAUUCGAAUCGGAAUAGCGGGAGUUGGAGGGGGUGUUGUUCGGUGUGUAGUGUGGGAGAAAAAUAAAAUAUAUUUUUAUAUUUUAAAUUAGGAGACCUUAAAAGCAUAUUAAAAAUCUUUUGCCGAUGUAAUGAAAUACCCCAUAACACUCGGGUCUACGUAAUCGGAACGGACCUGGAUUUUAUCCGGCUAAGAACUAUCAGCUCGUCAGAAUUUUGCUGUUGCAACAACAACAGGGUCCCCUAGAAAGACUCCUUGGCAAAUAUUACUAUUAUUUAACCAGAUUCGAUAACUUGGAAAACAGUUGGGAAACUAUUUAGCAACGGUGCCACUGAAUAUGAUUGUGGCGAUAAUGAAAAAACUCUGUUAAUUUAUUAGACAAAGAAAAUUUCCUAAAGCAUUGCAUUCAAAAUGUACCAUUUUACAAAGUGAUGGACCAACGGCCCAAGAGAAAAUAAAUGGUCUAAAACGGUAACCGACAUGAAUUCAAAUAUUAUUGGUUUGACGUUCGAAACACAAAUUGUAUCGGUUUUGGGUGUCACGGAAAUCAAUUUUAUCGGUUUUGUUAUCAAAAAUAAAGCAAAAGGAUAGUUGCUGACAGAUAUGAAAUGUAAGUGAAAAAAAUUAUUUAUAUUAUUGUUCCAAUAUAAUUUAUCGUUAUUUCUAUAGGGGAAAUUAUAAGAAUAAAACACAAAAUGGCAUAAUUGUUAAGUUUAUGGAAAAAAUCCAGAUAUUUUAAGAGGAUUUAUAAAACUUAUUAAACGUAAUCUAACACCCAAA